CUGAAUAAAUGUGUUUUUUUUUCUCAGGAGAUUUAAAGACCCUUAUGAAGAGAUUAAUACAAAUUUCAGUUAAGUUUGCAGCAAUGGAAAACAAAAUUGUAAAUUCUGCAUGUGACAGUUUUGCACAAGUGGUGUCACGGAUGCUCUUCUGCCAUAUCAGUUCAAGUGCGCUCAUAGUUUCUGUGAAGAGUUGUACUCCAAACUCCAUUUCUUUUCUUUCAAGGAAUAUUUAUGAUAUUGCUUCAGAAUGUCUUAAUGUUGAAUCUCUUCAAGUGAGAGAAGGUAUGGAACAUGGUGCACAGAGACCCAAGCAAAAACCCCAUUGUCUGACCCUACAGCAAUUCCAGAGGAAUCUCUGCAGUUCUGCAAAUUCCAAACUUUUAUUAAAAUUCUCACUAGCUACAAGAUGCUAAAGAUGGAGAAUUCGGGGAUUCCAUUUAAAUGAAUUAAUAGGAUUACUGUAAACUUUUGUUAAAGAUUUUGAUCUGUUUCCAGCUGAGCUGUCUUUGGCUUGGAGGUCUGGUUGUCUUGCUGACUGGGUCAUAUGUAUUUUUUCCCUUUGUCCUGACAAUCUGUCAGUUUUGUGUUGAUAUCCCUGUUUGGUCUCUUUCUGAUUUCUGUUUUUUAGAAUAUGUUCAGUUUCUCUUGCUCACUGUUCUAUCUCACUUUAAACCAACCAGUGUGUUUCUUUUACUGCAAGGCAUAACAAAUCAGUAUUGUAGGAUAUAUGCAGCAGUAUUUUUUCUGUAUCUUACUCAGCUGGGUUAUGCUAAUAAUAACGUUUAGUACUUCUGUACAGCUUGAAAUCACUGCACAGGGAGUUAAGUGGAGAAAGAAUUAUCAUUUGUCUUUUAAGUAGAGCGAGAGCUGAAGCAACUCACUCAAGCUCUAUAGUGUGUUGGGAUAAAAGUAUGUUGAAGAUCUGCAUAUUAUUUUUUUCUGAGAAAUGUGCUUAUGUCUUCCAAGACAUAACAUAUUCAAGCUAAUAUAUUAAGGUAGACUUGGUAAAGGUAUUUGUCCUGAAGGUAACAGUGUCACUUUACCUGAGCAUCAAUCAAAAUCAAAUGUCUCUUCUCUUAAAAUCUGUGAGCACUCAAUGCUUCAAAAAGAUACUAAACAAACCAGAAAGAUCCACUGUGAUGUGAAGCAAAGUCACGUGGUUUUAACACUGAUUGUAUGAUCAGUAAUUUGCAUAUAUUAUCAUUUAAUUCUAUUUUCUUAUUUUGUUAUAUGGAAGAAUUUUCACAGCCAGUACUACAAAACUUGAAAUCAAACAACAAAGUAUGCUUUAGAAAAAUAUUUCAAUCUAGGGUGUUGUUGAAAGGAGUCACAAAAUGGAAGGAAGGAUGUAGGAUGAGUUCUAAAAUAACAUCUUACUCUGAGUCUGUUUUCUGUGACUGCUACUUCAGGGUU
rnacentral:lncRNA from 1 species